ensembl:processed_transcript
CAAAUUCUUAAUCCUUCCUUGACUCUGAUUCCACUUGUAGCAACUUAGAAUAAACUCUAAACCUUAUUUCUAUUCCCCAGCUGCUGUUUUCCUGUACCCAAAAUGACACUGUCCCCUAUCUUUGCUCUUCCUGAUCCAUCUAUCAGAGAAGAUGUGGGCAAGUCACCAGAGUUUCCUAUUUACCUCUUACAAGGACUCAGUUGAGCCUUGGAAUGCUUUGUGUGAGAUUUGGGCAAGUGGUAAUGGUGAAUAGUAAAUGAUCUUCAGACUAGUGGUCAGAGGGUGGUAGCUUGAAGGCAAAGGUAUAUUGUAUGUGGAAGAGUUUGGGACAAGAGGCAUUUCUCUUGUUUCAAAUGUGUGGAAGCCAGGGAAGGACUGAGGGGGUUAUUUACAGUGUAAAGUAUAUAGUGCAUUGUUGAGGUACUGUGAGUUGUAAAGCUUGUUUUCGUUUUCACCAGGCUAAAAGAAGUAUUGAUCCACAACAAGGGUGCACGUGUGGUUCUAGAUCUGAAUGAGAUCUGCGUUCAUCAGGACUUGAGGUUUCUGACAACACCGUGUUUUGAGUAAU